rnacentral:rRNA from 1 species
CAAUAGCGUAUAUUAAAGCUGUUGCGGUUAAAAAGCUCGUAGUUGGAUUUCUGUCAAGGACAACUGGUCCGCACCUCGGGUGAGCACAUAGUUUGGUCUUGGCAUCUUGUUGGAAACUGUUGCUGCACUUGGUUGUGUGGCGCAGUGUCCAGCACUUUCACUUUGAGGAAAUUGGAGUGUUUCAAGCAGGCACAUGCCUUUGGACACAGUAGCAUGGAAUAAUUAGAUUGGGCUUUUGCUCCAACUUGUCGGUUUCUGGAGCUGAGGUGAGAAUUAAUGGGGAUUGUUGGGGGCAUCCGAAUUUAGCCGUCAGAGGUGAAAUUCUUGGAUCUGCUAAAGACGGACAACUGCGAAAGCGUUUGCCCAGGAUGUUUUCAUUGA